rnacentral:rRNA from 1 species
UACGAGGGGGGCAAGCGUUGUUCGGAUUUAUUGGGCGUAAAGGGCGCGUAGGCGGUGCGGUAAGUCCGCAGUGAAAUCUCUGGGCUCAACUCAGAGUCUGCUGUGGAAACUGGGGGACUUGAGUGCAGGAGAGAAGAGUGGAAUUCCACGUGUAGCGGUGAAAUGCGUAGAGAUGUGGAGGAACACCAGUGGCGAAGGCGACUCUUUGGCCUGUAACUGACGCUGAGGCGCGAAAGCGUGGGGAGCAAACAGG